UACGAAGGGGGCUAGCGUUGUUCGGAAUUACUGGGCGUAAAGCGCACGUAGGCGGACUAUUAAGUCAGGGGUGAAAUCCCGGGGCUCAACCCCGGAACUGCCUUUGAUACUGGUAGUCUCGAGUCCGGAAGAGGUGAGUGGAAUUCCGGGUGUAGUGGUGAAAUGCGUAGAGAUCCGGAGGAACACCAGUGGCGAAGGCGACACGCUGGGCCGUACCUGACACUGAGGCGCGAUAGCAUGGGGAGCAAACAGG
rnacentral:rRNA from 1 species